AUUGAACGCUGGCGGCAGGCCUAACACAUGCAAGUCGAACGAGUGGCGGACGGGUGAGUAAUGUCUGGGAAACUGCCUGAUGGAGGGGGAUAACUACUGGAAACGGUAGCUAAUACCGCAUACCAUCGGAUGUGCCCAGAUGGGAUUAGAUAGUAGGUGGGGUAAAGGGUAACCUAGGCGACGAUCCCUAGCUGGUCUGAGAGGCUGACCAGCCACACUGGAAAUGAGACACGGUCCAGAGUCCUACGGUAGGAAGCAGUGGGGAAUAGUGCACAAUGGGCGCAAGCCGGAUGCAGCCAUGCCGCGUGUAUGAAGAAGGACUUCGGGUUGUAAAGUACUUUCAGCGGGGAGGCGUUACCCGCAGAAUAAGCACCGGCUAACUUCGUGCCAGCAGCCGCGGUAAUAC
rnacentral:rRNA from 1 species